rnacentral:misc_RNA from 1 species
GUGACCCCGGUCUAACCACCGGGAUGUUCAUAACCCUUUGUUGUCCGACUCUGUUGCCUCCGGGGCGACCCUGCCUUCGGGCGGGGGCUCCGGGUGGACACUUCAAACUCUUGCGUAACUUUGCAGUCUGAGUAAACUUAAUUAAUAAAUUAAAACUUUUAACAACGGAUCUCUUGGUUCUGGCAUCGAUGAAGAACGCAGCGAAAUGCGAUAAGUAAUGUGAAUUGCAGAAUUCAGUGAAUCAUCGAAUCUUUGAACGCACAUUGCGCCCCCUGGUAUUCCGGGGGGCAUGCCUGUUCGAGCGUCAUUUCACCACUCAAGCCUCGCUUGGUAUUGGGCAACGCGGUCCGCCGCGUGCCUCAAAUCGACCGGCUGGGUCUUCUGUCCCCUAAGCGUUGUGGAAACUAUUCGCUAAAGGGUGUUCGGGAGGCUACGCCGUAAAACAACCCCAUUUCUAAGGUUGACCUCGGAUCAGGUAGGGAUACCCGCUGAACUUAAGCAUAU